rnacentral:tRNA from 1 species
GCGGAUAUAGUUUAAUGGUAGAACUUCAGUUUUCCAAACUGAAGGCCCGGGUUCGAUUCCCGGUAUCCGCA